GGAAAGCAGAAUUUCUAGUGUAGAGGUGAAAUUCGUAGAUAUUAGAAAGAAUACCAAUUGCGAAGGCAGCUUUCUGGAUCAUUACUGACACUGAGGAACGAAAGCAUGGGUAGCGAAGAGGAUUAGAUACCCUCGUAGUCCAUGCCGUAAACGAUGUGUGUUAGACGUUGGAAAUUUAUUUUCAGUGUCGCAGCGAAAGCGAUAAACACACCGCCUGGGGAGUACGACCGCAAGGUUAAAACUCAAAUGAAUUGACGGGGACCCGCACAAGUAGUGGAGCAUGUGGUUUAAUUCGAAGAUACGCGCAGAACCUUACCAACACUUGACAUGUUCGUCGCGACUUUGAGAGAUCAAAGUUUUCGGUUCGGCCGGACGAAACACAGGUGCUGCAUGGCUGUCGUCAGCUCGUGUCGUGAGAUGUUGGGUUAAGUCCCGCAACGAGCGCAACCCUCACUUUUAGUUGCCAUCAUUAAGUUGGGCACUCUGAAAGAACUGCCAGUGAUAAGCUGGAGGAAGGUGGGGAUGACGUCAAGUCCUCAUGGCCCUUACGUGUUGGGCUACACACGUGCUACAAUGGUAUCUACAACAGGAAGCAAGACUGCGAAGUUAAGCAAAUCCUUAAAAGAUACCUCAGUUCGGAUUGCACUCUGCAACUCGAGUGCAUGAAGCUGGAAUUACUAGUAAUCGUGGAUCAGCGUGCCACGGUGAAUGCGUUCCCGGGUCUUGUACACACCGCCCGUCACACCAUGGGAGUUGGUUCUACCUUAAGGCAAGGUUUCAAACCCUUGACCACGGUAUAGUCAGCGACUGGGGUGAAGUCGUAACAAGGUAGCCGUAGGGGAACCUGCGGCUG
rnacentral:rRNA from 1 species